CAGCAGCGGCGGGCGUAUUCCAAAUCUGUUUAAAAAACGAGCAGCCUGGGCUGGAAGCCCAUCAAUCCUGAUUAAUACUUGAAUUGUUGGCGGGGCAUAUCCCCCAAGUGUCUCGCCGAUAAAGGUGAUCAGGGAGUGUUCGCCUUUGUUUUACUCCUAAUGGUCUUGACCCGGAUUCCCCCCCCAGAACCCGG
rnacentral:sRNA from 1 species